UAAACAUAUAUAUAUAUUUAUCAUAUACUUAGACUAAAUAACAUAUAAAUUUUACCGUAUGAUAAUAGCAUUAAAUUGACGUAAAUUCCAUAUUUUUUGAAUUGGUGCUUAGCGGGCUGAUAUGAAAAGUUUAUCACAUGCUUCGAUUGUUAUCACAUGCCUUUCCGUAAGGUUAUCACAUGGCAUUCCGGUAAUACUCGGCCAAUUCCGGAAAAUACACCUCAGUGCUACGUUUUCAGUGAAAAACAUUACAAAGUAGUGUACAAAACAAUUACUUGAUUACUGGAAAGUAUAUUGUUUAAAAUAAUAAUAAUAAAAAAAAAACCAAACAAAUUAUUUAAUAAAUGCAUUUUUUAAAGUUUUUCUGAAACAUAAUUUAGAAAGUUUCUUUAAAAAGUUAACGAUUCCAAACAAUGAUCAUUAUGUGUAUUGUUGAAUUAUUUUUUUGUAGAUUCGUCCAUAUUAAAAUGUUUUUUUUUCUCUCUCUGUUGAGGCAUAUGAUAGAAAGAUUUCAUAUUGAAUGUAUCAAAUUUUGGGUC
rnacentral:lncRNA from 1 species